GACGCGGUGGCCUAAUGGUUAGCGCGCUGGACUCCAGAUUGAGCGGCCUGGGUUCAAGCCCUGGCCUGGGUCA